GCGAGCCUGAUCAGCCUGCCGCGUGAGUGAAGAAGGCCUUCGGGUUGUAAAGCUCUUUUGCAGGGAAGAAAGGGACGGUACUAAUACCUUAUUCUCCUGAUUUACCCCUCCAAUAACCCCGGCUUACUCCGUGCCAGCAGCCCGG
rnacentral:rRNA from 1 species